AAAGGAGCAGCAGUUAAAAGGAGGAUGUGAAUCCGAUUGGAGUUUAUUCAGAAGACUCUUCGGAUAUCGGCUGUUAGGCGAAGCUCUGAACGGCGAUGAGAUCGGCGGCAUCUUCUCACCGGCAGUCAACAUUCAACCCAAGAGUUCCACGUGUAUUCCACGUGUUGUUUAAUACUCAAACCUUAUCUCAUAGGUUUUGGAUAUUAUUUGGGCUUAUUUUUGUAUCUUGGGCUUUUGUAAUUGCUGUAACUUGCCUUUGGGCGUUCGAUAUAAUCGAAUUGGACGACAA
rnacentral:lncRNA from 1 species